AUUGAACGCUGGCGGCAUGCCUUACACAUGCAAGUCGAACGAGUGGCGGACGGGUGAGUAAUGUCUCGGAACCUGCCCGAUGGCGGGGGAUAACUACUGGAAACGGUAGCUAAUACCGCAUACCAUCAGAUGUGCCCAGAUGGGAUUAGCUUGUUGGUGGGGUAACGGCUCACCAAGGCGACGAUCCCUAGCUGGUCUGAGAGGAUGACCAGCCAAACUGGAACUGAGACACGGUCCAGACUCCUACGGGAGGCAGCAGUGGGGAAUUUUGGACAAUGGGCGAAAGCCUGAUGCAGCCAUGCCGCGUGUAUGAAGAAGGCCUUCGGGUUGUAAAGUACUUUCAGCGGGGAGGCGGUAUCUGCAGAAGAAGCACCGGCUAACUCCGUGCCAGCAGCCGCGGUAAUAC
rnacentral:rRNA from 1 species